GGAAUUUAAGAGAUCAAAUAACUUUCAUUAGAAAUAAAAUUACCUUUUUUUUUUUUUUUUGCUAGCUUUGCUUCCUUGAAGAGGCAGACAAAUAAUUCAAGCCACUGAAUUCACACAGAAAAGCAAAAUUAAGACCUCAACGAAUUUGCCAUCAUAGUUCAAAACCUGUUCAAGAAGAAAUAUUUUCAACAUGAAAGGCAUCUUUUUUAUUUGCGUUCUUACUAUGACAUUGUCCAGGAGGUCAAUUACUGUUAUUAUGUACAAACACAUUUAAUAUUGUAUUAAGAUAUAUUCAGGUCUUCUGAACUUUAUCUAGAAGAACAAGUAGCUCCACUAUUUAACAGACUUAGGCUUUGAAAAUGGGGUUUAAUAUCUCAUGACAUCUAAUACCUACAGAUCAGCCUUUCAAGAAAACGAUACCAGGAAUUUUGCAGAGCACCUGUUUUCAGGCAGACUAUUUGUUUCCAAGACAGCAUAAAUCACCAAGUGUCACUGAGAAAGUGAGGAGAAAAACAGAAAGGAGCACCAGGGAGAGCACUGCAAGAGCUCUUCCAAAGCAUGCAAAGCUUUCUAUGAAUUGUGAAAUUAAGAUGACAGUGUUACAGAAAUGGAGGAAACAUGGAACAUUUGAAGGCCCACUGACUGCAUAUGAGAAGAUAGCAGAGAAAAGCAGCAACCAUCAUAUGCCUUAA
rnacentral:lncRNA from 1 species